rnacentral:misc_RNA from 1 species
UGGGUUUGACAUGCACAGGACGCGGCUAGAGAUAGUCGUUCCCUUGUGGCCUGUGUGCAGGUGGUGCAUGGCUGUCGUCAGCUCGUGUCGUGAGAUGUUGGGUUAAGUCCCGCAACGAGCGCAACCCUUGUCUCAUGUUGCCAGCGCGUUAUGGCGGGGACUCGUGAGAGACUGCCGGGGUCAACUCGGAGGAAGGUGGGGAUGACGUCAGGAAUGUCGAUA